AAUCUACCCCACCAAUGGGGUCUUUGUACUCCUAUGGAGUCAUCCCCUCAAGAGGAGGUCUUCAUCUCCAUGAGAGGAGCAAUCUCCAUGAAGGAGUAAUCCCACAAGGGGAGCUACAUGAGCAAAGCUAUAUGGUUGGAGUUUUAAUCUUAGCUAACCCUAAAAUGGAUGAGAUGGAGGGAUAUAUAUAGGUCCAAGGCAUGAAGGGGCAAGUGAAAGGGUAAAGAUACAUGGGCUUUUCUCAAAUUCUGCACACAGCCACACUACCUGUCCGGUCAUCUGGCCGGAUUGUGCGAUAGUGCAGUUUUUGCACCACUUCUUCGGUUGCUCUCUCUUCUUCCAUCGCUGCUUCCACGCUCCCUCUUGGAUGUUGUUGUUGUCCUCUUGUGCUCUCACCCAAUAAGCGUGAAGCUCUCUCAAACCUAUACAUGUACAGGGUGGGGGGAGGGUCAAGUAGUAUACCAUCCAAGAGCGAACCAAGUAGACACGCAUAGAGGAUAUAACUCACCUUAGUAUAUGUGAUGCGCGUGUCACUUGGUGAUGGAGCCAAGUCCAUGGUGAUGACACUAGGGCGUUCGGCACCACUCUCUCUCUCUCACACAAAGAUAAAGCUUGAAGUAGAGAGAGAUGAACACAAGAGAAGGGCUUCAAGAAAGGGAGGAGCUUGGUCUUUAAAGAUUCAAUGAAGUAGCUUGGAAUCACCCAACAAUUUCCUUUCAACUCUGCCUUGGACGCACAAAAGGCUUGGAUAGGAUUUGGCUUGGAAUGGCUUGUAACUUUUUCUCACAACCAAGGGGGUUUGGGGGAUUAUUUACAGUGCAGGCCUAGAAGUACCGGAGGAAAAAUUUCAGAACUACUGGACUUGUUCAAAAUUCGAAUGGCCAGAAGGGAAAAACAUGUUCUUGGAAGUGCACGAUACCUCGGAGGUACCGACUGUCAACUAAGCUUCUCAAAAGUCCAGUUGCUCAGAAGUACCGAGCAGAGAAAACAAGGAGGCACUGGUGUCACGCUAACCAUGGCCUACUCCAGCCGAGCCGAGCAUAUCUUCAGUGCUUUCCAAGUCUUAGUUUGGUUGAUGAUAUGUUGAGAGAAAGGGAUGACAUCCAUUCUUCAUUCACGACCGAACGAACUAUCACGAGCUCUCUCGGAGCUGGUAGCAGCAGCAGUAGAUAUCCAGUUGAGCAAAACAAAACUGAGAGUUCCGAGAAUGGUAACAUAGAUAGCAGGGACAAAUCGAGUAAAAAGAAGUGGUUUAAUCUAAAUCUUAAUAGAUCUGACAAGAGAGCCUGAGCAAUUUAUUUUCAUCGAUGUCAGCAUCGGCACAUCCACUGUUGUACAUUACAGAAGCUCAAUUGUAUUUGUGCCUUCUGAGCUGUACGCUUGGCGAUUCUUGUUUCUUCUUCUUUUAGCAUAGCAGUUUUGAGUAAAAUCGUGUACUAUUCAUCAACUAUUCUUCUUCCUCCACUUGAGGUACGUUUGCCUGGUGUCACAGUUUCCUUUUUC